rnacentral:rRNA from 1 species
CAAAAACAUCGCCUCCUGAACAAAUAUAUGAGGUCCAGCCUGCCCAGUGAUAACAUUUAACGGCCGCGGUAUACUAACCGUGCGAAGGUAGCAUAAUCACUUGUUCUUUAAAUAGGGACUUGUAUCAACGGCAUCACGAGGACUAUACUGUCUCCCCUCUCCAAUCAGUGAAACUGAUCUUCCCGUGAAGAAGCGGGAAUUUAUAUAUAAGACGAGAAGACCCCAUGGAGCUUUAAACCCAGUGUACACCCCUUUACCCAAAUACCAAUUUAAUUUCAAAGGCCUGUAUAUUAGUUUUAGGCUGGGGGGGCCACGGAGUAAAACUUAACCUCCACAACAAAUGGGCUAAUUACCCUUAUCCAUGAUUUACAAAUCUAAGAAUUACAAAAAUGAUGUUUAAUGACCCGAUAAUUCGAUCAAUGAACCAAGUUACCCUGGGGAUAACAGCGCAAUCUACUUCAAGAGCCCAUAUCGACAAGUGGGUUUACGACCUCGAUGUUGGAUCAGGGCAUCCCAGUGGUGCAACCGCUACUAACGGUUCGUUUGUUCAACGAUUAAAACCCUACGUGAUCUGAUUUCAGACCGG